GUGUAGUGGUUAUCACUCGGGAUUUUGAUGGAUUCUACUUUCCCGAAACCCAGGUUCGAACCCUGG